rnacentral:rRNA from 1 species
UACGAAGGGAGCUAGCGUUGUUCGGAAUCACUGGGCGUAAAGCGCACGUAGGCGGAUGUGUCAGUCAGGGGUGAAAUCCCGGAGCUCAACUUCGGAACUGCCUUUGAUACAGCACAUCUGGAGUCCGGAAGAGGUGGGUGGAAUUCCUAGUGUAGAGGUGAAAUUCGUAGAUAUUAGGAAGAACACCGGUGGCGAAGGCGGCCCACUGGUCCGGUACUGACGCUGAGGUGCGAAAGCGUGGGGAGCAAUCAGG